GCCUGGGUGGCUCAGUCGGUUGAGCGUCCGACUUCAGCUCAGGUCACGAUCUCACGGUUUGUGAGUUCGAGCCCCACGUCAGGCU
rnacentral:tRNA from 1 species